AGAUUCCUCAAUUCUAAGUCUGACCCACCCUGAUUCUCUAACAAUCUGGGUUUUGCUAUUUAGCUGCCCAAUGUGGAUAAUACCUAAGGGAGACAUUAUAGGGCACAAUGGCCAUUUCUGUGAUGCUGUCACAUAUGUUUGUUAAAAGGAUGAUAAAGUUCAAUACACAAUUCUAUGCAAGCAGGAUAUAAUAAACUGUCAUAAUUUUACUAGUUUAAACAAAGAUAAAAAUAUGAGGACUAGAAUUAGUUUAUAUAUACAUAUUAUUUGAUUUUUCUAUUUUAAAGAAAGGAGGGUCUGCAUUGCAUAUUUCUUACCAUUCCUAUUAGGCAACCAAUAAUGGUUCUGUUACAGAAUAUGGAAAGUCUCAAUUCCACACGAUCUCAUGAGAGAACUGGACCUGAUGAUUUUGAAUGGAUGUCUGAUGAAAGGAAAGGAAAUGAAAAAGAUGGUGGACACACUCAGCAUUUUGAGAGCCCCACAAUGAAGAUCCAGGAGCAUCCCAGCCUAUCUGACACCAAACAGCAGAGAAAUCAAGAUGCCGGUGACCAGGAGGAGAGCUUUGUCUCCGAAGUGCCCCAGUUGG
rnacentral:sRNA from 1 species